GACGAACGCUGGCGGCGUGCCUAAUACAUGCAAGUCGAGCGGGGAUUAUGCUUGAUCGCUUCGGUGAGACGGCAUAUAUCCUAGCGGCGGACGGGUGAGUAACGCGUGGGUAAUCUACCUCGUAGUUCGGGAUAACAGGCCGAAAGGCUUGCUAAUACCGGAUGAGUUCAUGCUUAUGCAUAUAGGCAUGAAGAAAGGGCUAGCCCGCUAUGAGAUGAGCCCGCGUCCCAUUAGCUUGUUGGUGGGGUAAUGGCCUACCAAGGCAACGAUGGGUAGCCGGCCUGAGAGGGUGUACGGCCACACUGGGACUGAGACACGGCCCAGACUCCUACGGGGGGCAGCAGUAGGGAAUUUUCGGCAAUGGGCGAAAGCCUGACCGAGCGACGCCGCGUGAGGGACGAAGGCCUUCGGGUUGUAAACCUCUGUCUGGGGGAUGAGAACGGACGGUACCCCGGAGGAAGCCCGGCUAACUACGUGCCAGCAGCCGCGGUAACACCACAUAGU
rnacentral:rRNA from 1 species